CCUACGGGAGGCAGCAGUAGGGAAUCUUCCGCAAUGGGCGAAAGCCUGACGGAGCAAUGCCGCGUGAGUGAUGAAGGUUUUCGGAUCGUAAAGCUCUGUUGCCAGGGAAGAACGUCUUAUAGAGUAACUGCUAUAAGAGUGACGGUACCUGAGAAGAAAGCCCCGGCUAACUACGUGCCAGCAGCCGCGGUAAUACGUAGGGGGCAAGCGUUGUCCGGAAUUAUUGGGCGUAAAGCGCGCGCAGGCGGCUAUUUAAGUCUGGUGUUUAAACCUUGGGCUCAACCUGAGGUCGCACUGGAAACUGGGUGGCUUGAGUACAGAAGAGGAAAGUGGAAUUCCACGUGUAGCGGUGAAAUGCGUAGAUAUGUGGAGGAACACCAGUGGCGAAGGCGACUUUCUGGGCUGUAACUGACGCUGAGGCGCGAAAGCGUGGGGAGCAAACAGGAUUAGAUACCCUGGUAGUCCACGCCGUAAACGAUGAGUGCUAGGUGUUAGGGGUUUCGAUACCCUUGGUGCCGAAGUUAACACAGUAAGCACUCCGCCUGGGGAGUACGGUCGCAAGAACUGAAACUUCAAAAUAGAAGUUAGUAGGCGNGAGAGNGCCGAACGGACGACGACGAGGGGAAGGAGGNGG
rnacentral:rRNA from 1 species